CCUACGGGGGGCUGCAGUGGGGAAUAUUGGACAAUGGGGGGAACCCUGAUCCAGCCAUGCCGCGUGUGUGAAGAAGGCCCUCGGGUUGUAAAGCACUUUCAGUGAGGAAGAACGCCUGGUGGUUAAUACCCAUCAGGAAAGACAUCACUCACAGAAGAAGCACCGGCUAACUCCGUGCCAGCAGCCGCGGUAAUACGGAGGGUGCGAGCGUUAAUCGGAAUUACUGGGCGUAAAGCGCGCGUAGGUGGCUUGAUAAGCCGGUUGUGAAAGCCCCGGGCUCAACCUGGGAACGGCAUCCGGAACUGUCAAGCUAGAGUGCGGGAGAGGAAGGUAGAAUUCCCGGUGUAGCGGUGAAAUGCGUAGAGAUCGGGAGGAAUACCAGUGGCGAAGGCGGCCUUCUGGACUGACACUGACACUGAGGUGCGAAAGCGUGGGUAGCAAACAGGAUUAGAUACCCCAGUAGUC
rnacentral:rRNA from 1 species